ensembl:Mt_tRNA
GGGGGGUUAGUCCAAAACAAGACCUCUGACUUCGGCUCAGAAAAUCAUGGUUUAACCCCAUGACCCCCUU